rnacentral:tRNA from 1 species
AAAUAUUUAGGCUAAAUUAAACCUUUGACCUUCAAAGUCAACACUCUUUUUCAAGAAUAUUUA